rnacentral:lncRNA from 1 species
AAAAAAAAAAAAGAAACCAAAAAAAUAGUGAUUUGCAAAAGGAAAGUUUGUAGAUUCCGUUUUUGGAUCCGAUUGAAGGUUGGACAUUUAAUAAUUACUUAGUUAUCAAUUCAUGGAAAAAAAAAAGAAAGAUUACAGAAAAAUAAAAUCUUAAGAGUAAAUCAAGAUUCGGUAGGACUUGAAACUUUUCAAAGUGAAAGGUGAUUAAUCCUUAUACAAAAAACUCAAUUGUAAUUAAAGAAGACACGUAGAAAUGAGCAAUAAGCAAUCAAGUAAAUCACAGCAAUCAGAACUUCAAAAAAUUUUAUGGAUUUUAGCUUUCUGUUCAAUUUCUCUAGUGUUUACAGGAAUUUGAUAUGGGUCUUUGGAUUUUUAAGUUUUUGUUUUUUAUUUUGGGAUUUUGGUUUUAGUUUUUUUUUGGAAUUUUUGUUUGAUUAUGAGUUUUGGUCGAUUUUU